rnacentral:rRNA from 1 species
GACGAACGCUGGCGGCGUGCCUAAUACAUGCAAGUAGAACGCACAGUUUAUACCGUAGCUUGCUACACCAUAGACUGUGAGUUGCGAACGGGUGAGUAACGCGUAGGUAACCUGCCUGGUAGCGGGGGAUAACUAUUGGAAACGAUAGCUAAUACCGCAUAAUAUUGAUUAUUGCAUGAUAAUUGAUUGAAAGAUGCUAUUGCAUCACUACCAGAUGGACCUGCGUUGUAUUAGCUAGUAGGUGAGGUAACGGCUCACCUAGGCGACGAUACAUAGCCGACCUGAGAGGGUGAUCGGCCAUACUGGGACUGAGACACGGCCCAGACUCCUACGGGAGGCAGCAGUAGGGAAUCUUCGGCAAUGGACGAAAGUCUGACCGAGCAACGCCGCGUGAGUGAAGAAGGUUUUCGGAUCGUAAAGCUCUGUUGUAAGAGAAGAACGGGUGUGAGAGUGGAAAGUUCACACUGUGACGGUAUCUUACCAGAAAGGGACGGCUAACUACGUG